GAUGAACGCUGGCGGCGUGCCUAAUACAUGCAAGUCGAGCGAACAGACGAGGAGCUUGCUCCUCUGACGUUAGCGGCGGACGGGUGAGUAACACGUGGAUAACCUACCUAUAAGACUGGGAUAACUUCGGGAAACCGGAGCUAAUACCGGAUAAUAUAUUGAACCGCAUGGUUCAAUAGUGAAAGACGGUUUUGCUGUCACUUAUAGAUGGAUCCGCGCCGAAUUAGCUAGUUGGUAAGGUAACGGCUUACCAAGGCAACGAUGCGUAGCCGACCUGAGAGGGUGAUCGGCCAAACUGGAACUGAGACACGGUCAAGACUCCUACGGGAGGCGGCAGUAGGGAAUCUUCCGCAAUGGGCGAAAGCCUGACGGAGCAACGCCGCGUGAGUGAUGAAGGUCUUCGGAUCGUAAAACUCUGUUAUUAGGGAAGAACAAAUGUGUAAGUAACUAUGCACGUCUUGACGGUACCUAAUCAGAAAGCCACGGCUAACUACGUG
rnacentral:rRNA from 1 species